rnacentral:rRNA from 1 species
CAGAGUUUGAUCAUGGCUCAGGACGAACGCUGGCGGCGUGCCUAAUACAUGCAAGUCGAACGCGUCUACGUUAAUGAAAUCAAUGUGCUUGCACGGCGAUGGAUUUAACAUUAGACGAGUGGCGAACUGGUGAGUAACACGUGGGUAACCUGCCCUCAAGCAGGGGAUAACACUUGGAAACAGGUGCUAAUACCGUAUAACAACAAAAACCGCAUGGUUUUUGUUUGAAAGAUGGUUUCGGCUAUCACUUGAGGAUGGACCCGCGGCGUAUUAGCUAGUUGGUGAGGUAAUGGCUCACCAAGGCAAUGAUACGUAGCCGACCUGAGAGGGUAAUCGGCCACAUUGGGACUGAGACACGGCCCAAACUCCUACGGGAGGCAGCAGUAGGGAAUCUUCCACAAUGGACGAAAGUCUGAUGGAGCAACGCCGCCAGCGUUCGUC